rnacentral:rRNA from 1 species
CGGGUGAGCAACACGUAUCCAACCUGCCGUCUACUCUUGGACAGCCUUCUGAAAGGAAGAUUAAUACAAGAUGGCAUCAUGAGUCCACAUGUUCACAUGAUUAAAGGUAUUCCGGUAGACGAUGGGGAUGCGUUCCAUUAGAUAGUAGGCGGGGUAACGGCCCACUUAGUCUUCGAUGGAUAGGGGUUCUGAGAGGAAGGUCCCCCACAUUGGAACUGAGACACGGUCCAA